GACGUAGGUGGCGAACGUUGUCCGGAAUUAUUGGGCGUAAAGAGCUCGUAGGCGGUCUGUCACGUCUGCUGUGAAAACUCGGGGCUUAACCCCGGGCCUGCAGUGGGUACGGGCAGACUAGAGUGCGGUAGGGGAGACUGGAAUUCCUGGUGUAGCGGUGAAAUGCGUAGAUAUCGAGAGGAACACCAGUGGCGAAGGCGGAUCUCUGGGCCUUACCUGACGCUGAGGCGCGAAAUCUAGGGGAGCGAACAGG
rnacentral:rRNA from 1 species